GAUGAACGCUGGCGGCGUGCCUAAUACAUGCAAGUCGAGCGAACGGACGAGAAGCUUGCUUCUCUGAUGUUAGCGGCGGACGGGUGAGUAACACGUGGAUAACCUACCUAUAAGACUGGGAUAACUUCGGGAAACCGUAGCUAAUACCGGAUAAUAUUUUGAACCGCAUGGUUCCAAAGUGAAAGACGGUCUUGCUGUCACUUAUAGAUGGAUCCGCGCUGCAUUAGCUAGUUGGUAAAGUAACGGCUUACCAGGGCAACGAUGCAUAGCCGACCUGAGAGGAUGAUCGGCCACACUGGAACUGAGCCACGGUCCAGACUCCUACGGGAGGCAGCAGUAGGGAAUCUUCCGCAAUGGGCGAAAGCCUGACGGAGCAACGCCGCGUGAGUGAUGAAGGUCUUCGGAUCGUAAAACUCUGUUAUUAGGGAAGAACAUAUGUGUAAGUAACUGUGCACAUCUUGACGGUACCUAAUCAGAAAGCAACGGCUAACUACGUG
rnacentral:rRNA from 1 species